UAACUUUAUUUGGAAAUGACCAUUUGAGGUUCUCACGCUUCGAAUGUUGUCACAGUUAUUGCAUUUAAAUUUGACUUAUUAUUAAUUAGCUUCAUGUUUCUACAAUUUCAGAAAGUUGUACAAACUUUUUAAGUGGCCGACCAUAUAUAUCUUGUAAAUAGUCCACGCUAAUACUAGUCCUCUCUUCAAAAAGUUUUUAAAAGCGACUUCUGGGAUUUAUUUAUACACAUUCAAGUCUACUAUAAUAUGAAGAUUAAGAAUGAUACCAAAAUUUUCAAUCUCUCUCAAACCAAAUAAGUGAAGUUUUUGGUAAUAAUCAUCCAGCUAGCUCUGCUUAGAACCACUGUUCUGCAAGUUAAUUUCAACUGUGUAUUGUGCAAGAAAUUCGUUUUGCAAGCCAUUGCAAGACGUGAAGGUAAUUCCACACACCACCCCUAAAAAAAAGGAGAAAAAAAAACAUCAAAACUAAGACAAUAGUUUUUUAAUUUAUUUCAACAUGUAGUUACGUGAUAUUUAAAUAUGUUACUUCCUUUUUAAUUUAUUUAUCCAUUUUUCUUUAGUUUAACUUCUAUGAUAUAACAAAUGUCUACAAAAUCAAUAGAGGUAGAGAUCUAAUGUAUAAGGUAUGAGCUUAUCUGAACCUAAUAAUUUUUGCCUAGCCAUUUAGAUUCUUUAUUGUAAAAUUACAAAUAAUAUUUCAAACUCAGUAAAUAAAAUGAGACGUGGUAGUCUCCGAGCUGGGUUAUUUAUUAGGUAAUUACAAAUAAAUCUCUUGAAAAUUAUUUGACAAUUACAUUAAAAAAAGUUAUUUAUAAUUAAUAGAUCAAAGAAUUUAAAAAGAUUUGCAAGAAACAUGAUCAACGAAAAUUAUAUUUGACUUUUCACAUAGUUAUAGAUUCACAUAAAUUAAAACAAACUUAAAUCCUUUACCUUUUUUUUGAAGUCGCUAAUUACUUGUCAUUGUUAUUGGGUUAAUAGGUAUAGAUUGUGUGAGCAUAAAAACAGUGGAGAGGAAAUUAGUAGUGGUUGGAACAGUACGUCCAGAGUUUCUUGUAAAGGAAAUAAAGAAGAUUGGAAAGGAUGCGGAGAUAAUACAAGUUACAGAGCAUAGACGAAAUGGUGAUGAUACAGCGACAGCGACGGCGAAUGAUGAAAAUGUUGAAGGAAAUAAUAACGUAAGACAUUUACCAAGAAUGUGCACACAGUGCCAAACUCGAACAGGGGUCGAAAUUGGAGUUCGGAACCGAAAUGAUAACUCUUUGGACUCAAACUGCUUUUCUACUCGUUAAAAAAAGUUACAUUUGUAACUAUUUCUCAGUAUUUUUCUGCGAAAUAGUUAAAAAUUAUUUUUUCAAAUUGCAUUUCGCAGUAAAAUACUGCGAAAUGGUUAUAAGUUGGGCCCAGGAGCUAUUUAAAUAGUUACUGCGAAAUGCUAUUUUAAAUAGAGCCUGGUCGUCUUCCUCAACGACAAACAUUUUGAAACCUUCAUUUUAAUAAGUUCCACUGCACUGGUCCCCCCACCCCGUGCUUUUAUUAACAAAAAAUUUGGCUCACCCAUCCCACAACGAACACGGAUUGUAGGCCCCACAUACCCCUACGGAGUCACUGAAUACGGAAAUCUACCGGUUACUUUGAAGUUAACCGAACGCCUCCUCUCACUCAUUUUUUUACGUAGCAAUGAUACCAAUGUAUCGUACUCUAUAUUAGUGGCAAUUUAACGUGACACCGUGAAGGUGAACUAUACCGCACAGAGUUAUUCUCCAUCAAAACCUCACCACCCCAAUAAAGAGAAACCCUUAUUUUUUACACUUCAGACAUUAUAAGAAAGAUUGAUAAGAAGAAGAGAGAAGUUUAUUGAAUGAAUGUUCANNNNNNNNNNNNNNNNNNNNNNNNNNNNNNNNNNNNNNNNNNNNNNNNNNNNNNNNNNNNNNNNNNNNNNNNNNNNNNNNNNNNNNNNNNNNNNNNNNNNNNNNNNNNNNNNNNNNNNNNNNNNNNNNNUUAUUGAAUGAAUGUUCAUGAAGAUCAAACGCCUAUAAAUAAGGCAAGUCCGAGGUCGGGGUAUAGAAUUUUUCAAAUGAAUUCGCAGUAAAAUACUGUAUUUUAUGAUUUGGAAUUAUUGCUGUUGUGUCAGCUAAAAUAACCUGUCCAUGCCCAAAAAACAAGGUACAUUUCGCAGUAAUUUAGUACGAAAUGUACCUUGUUUUUUGGGCUUGGACAUGUGAUUAAUUAAAAAAACAAAAAAUCAUUUCACAGUAUUUUACUGCGAAAUGCAAUUUGAAAAAAUAAUUUGUAACUAUUUCGCAGUAUUAUACUACGAAAUGGGUUCACGAAAAAAAAAUUUGUUAACUCAUUUCGCAGUAAAAUACUACGAAAUAGUUACAAAUGUAACCUUAUUUUUAAAACAUUAGAAAAGCACUUUGAGUUCAAAAAAUUAUCAUUUCGGUUUCGGACUCGUCGAAAUUGGUUGUAGGCCUCAAUUUGGUCAUGAUCUACACUACUUUAUGAUUAGUAUAGUCACGGAAAUUGUUGUUGUUUAAUUAUGUAAAUUGUUUUAGACUGCUAACUUUAAAAUUUUGAUGUUUACACCAAAUCAAUAAAUGUAUAUGGUAUAUGUAUUUUUUAUAUAUUCAUUUAGGGAUAUUCAAUGACUUAAUUUAUGAAAAUGAGGUUGAUUUUUUAUUUGUUAUUAUGUGGUAUCGUCCAUUUGCCCCGUUAUGUCUGGUUACGUAAUGAAUGGACGGACGUACUCCCGUUUCGACUCUUAUACAUACCGCUAGUAGGUUUGAUAAUCAAUAAGUUUUUUCAUUAAUUUUAUAAGAAUUAAAUUCUUUUAAAUCAACAUAAUUUAAAUUUAUUUUUCUCCUUUGAAUUGAUGAUAUAUAUAGCAAUUUUGAUUGAAUUUAUCAGUCAAAGCAGGAAAUAAUAUAUACCAUGAUAUUCUUGAUUAUUUUUUUAUUCAAAGAGUCAAUAUAAUUAAAUUAUUAUUGUAUUCUCAAAUUCACUCCAAUUAGUAACCCUAAAGAUUACAUUAGUUAGUUUAGUAUAAAUUUGGGUAGAAAUAAUUUUUUCUGCCCAAACCCUAUGGUGCACACCAUUACGCGGGAAAUACGGGACUGGAUUUGAUGGUUGUAUUUGAGAAUAUGAACAAAAUGAGUUUUUGGUCUUAAUUUGGCCACUUCUUUAACUUUUGGAAGAAAAAAAAGAUUAUAAGCUUUUACAAGGUUGCCUAACUAUAGGUAUUCUUUUUUUUUUUUUUGGGUAAAUAAGAUAUUUAUUUAGAACAUAAAUUUAGUAGUCAUUAUAACAAGAGAUUUGUUUAGCAUACCCAGUGCCUAUCCUGUCCCUAUUAAAACUGAAAUAGAAAAUACAGGCGGAUAAUAAUACAAUAGUAUUAAGUUAGCAAAUAAGUCCAUGCUGCAUCCAUUCUUGGCUAAGAUGUCCGCUGCUCCAUUAGUUUCUCUGAAUACAUGCCUCAAAGGUGGCGUGCCAGCCUUAGAUAAUAGGGACAUGCAGUCAUUAAUAAUAUUUUGAUAAAGAUUAUUUUCAUUAUUUAUCAUGUUGAUUAGUUCCUGGCAAUGUGUUUCAAUGACUAGAGGAGUCAGUCUCAUUUGGAUGGCUAGUUUUAGACCUUGUACUAGGGAUAUGGCUUCUAUUUGAAUAUUUGUGGCGUGUGCAAAUCCCAUAUUGAAUCCUAGUAUCUAUUUUCCAUUGCUAUCCCUAAAAAUCCCGCCUAUCCUCCCCCCUGACUGGGUUACCUUGGCAUGAUCCAUCUAUAUUUACUUUUAAAAUCCCUAUGUCUGGGGUUGCUAUCUAAUAAGGAUCGUUCUUUUUGGUAUCCGUAUAGGACUCCAGUUGCUUAGAAAAAGGAAUUCUUGGGUGCUAUUGAUUACUUAUCUAAUGCUUCUAGUUGGAGUAAAGAGGGUCCCCUUAUCUAAUGCCUCUAGUUAGAGUAAAGAAAUUUGUAUUUGAGCCAUUUAUGAGUAUGGAGAUAGAUGUGAAGGAUACACACGAUAUUAUUAGAUCAAUUAAGUCAUCGGGGAAAUUUAGAGAUUUCAGGGAGAAUCUAAUGAAAGAUCACUCCAGCUUGUCAAAGGCCUUUUCCAGGUCAAUUUUGAUCAUGAUUUUUUCCUUUUUUUCCUUUUGAAUUUUUUAAAGAUUUUUGUGUUUCAUGCACUAUUAUGGCAUUAUCCGAGUCUCUUCUUCCUCUUAUAAAGCUCGUUUAAGUAGGAUGUAUAAUAUUGUUGAGCAAAGGUUUUAUUCCAUUAACUAUAAUUUUAGUGACGACCUUAUAGGCAGUGUUACACAGACUAAAGGGCCUAUAAUUGCUUUAAUGUUUCAGCAUCGUGAUAAAACAGACGAAGGUUCUAUUCAUGUCCUCAUUCAUUCUUUUACUUGUGAAGGAUUCUUUACAGAAGUUUACUAGCAGGUUGCUAGUUAUUCCCCAGAAUUAUUAGUAGAAGAAAGGGUGGAUGUCAUAUGGUUCAGGUGCCUUUAGUGGUUUAAAAGAGAAAAGGGUGGGAUGGUCGGUAAGGGUAAUUGAGGAUAGGGCAGGCAUGUAUAAUGGUGAUUUUUGGGAGGAAUUGUGAUUAGAAGUAUAUAAAUUUUUGUAGAAGUUCAUUUUAAUGUGGGUAAGUUCCUUCGGGUCAUGUAACUGAUUACCAGCUUCAUCUCUGAGGCUAAAUAUCCUAUUUUCCUUCUACUUUGUAGGGUUAUGAGAUGGAAAAACUUUGUAUUAGCGUCGCCUUCUUGAAUCCAUUAGAUUCUAGAUUUCAGUUUCCAGAAUUCCUCCUCCAAUUUGAGGAUUUUUUGUAGUUCAUCGAGUAGUUCAAUUUCUAGAUUAGACAAGAAGGUGUUGGUUGUGUAAUUUGGAGAUUUUUGAAUGCCUUCUAGUCUAUCUAGGAUUUUUGUUCUUUUAUUAAAAGAUAUUUCCAAAGGUAUCCUUGGUCUAGGCAAUGGCUUUAUUAGUGAAGUUGUUGAUAGCAUUUGAAAUAGUGACUUGGUUUGUCCAGCAUUCCAUUACUAGUCCCUUAAAUGUGGGAUGGGAUAGUCACAUAGAUUCUAGUCGAAAUAUAUUAUUACUGUGGAUGGGUUUUUUUAUAAGGUCCAGAUGUAUGAGGUAGUGUUCAGAGUGGGUUUUUAUAAGAUGUUUUACACUGGCUUCAGGAAACAUACUAAUCCACCGUUGGCUACGAAUCUGUCCAAUCUCUCCAUGAUGAAAGCAUUUUUUUUCUUUUUCCUCUUAUUUAAUCAAGUGAACUUUGGGCCUUUAAACCCUAGGUCUAUUAAUUAAAAGCAUCAAGAUAAUUAAUAAACUUUGUGAUUCUAUUGUUAUUAACAUGUAUACCUCUAAAUUUCUCACUUGAACUAGUGACCUCAUUAAAAUACCCUAAUACUAACCAGGAUCCUUUAUAAUUAUUUGCAGCUGUUAUUAAAUUAUUUCACGGAGUAAUUCUUUCCAUUAACAAAAUACUAGCAUAAAUAAUUGAGCAUAACCAAGUUUUAGGGUAGAAUUUUACCUUCACCAUGACAUGAAUUUCUUAUUCAGAUCCCUCUAUUUGGUCAACACUGACUUCAUCCCUGUUCCGUACUAGUGUCAUUCCUCCCGAGUUUCUUUGUGCCGCAACCUAAGCUAGACCUGAAAAGCCAAAGUCCUCCAUGAUGACAUAGCGUUCAGAUAAUUUCGUUUCGAGUAAUGCAACCACACUAGGUUUGUGGUAAUCAAGUAUGGAUCUAAAAGCUCUUCUGAAGUAUGCCUUUUCUGCUCCACGACAGUUCCAAGAUGUUGACGUCUUAAGAAUGCUCCUACUUGAUUAAAAGUAAAACGAUAAAGUAAAUAAACAAAAUAAACGUAACAGUAAUCUUCCUUCAUAUGCAGACAAUGACGAUAACCCGAUUUCCAUUCAAUUUCAACUAGUCAGAUUCUUUAUCUUCCCAACACCACCCAUGACCCAAAGGCAAUCUGAUUUCUUUUCUUAAGAACUUAUAUCUAUUUUAAACAUAUUCCAAAUUUGCUAUGACUAAACAACAUACAGAGUCAGGAAUGGAAAUCGAUUCAAUUUAUUUAAUCUAACUAAAUUAAUUAAAAAAAACAUAACUAUCACUGAAUUAAUCAAUGUUAACAGAUUCUAAAGCUCCAUUCACAGUAGGAAAGUGAAGAUAGAUAGGAUGAAGAAAAUGGACCUGAUGUGGCAAAACGUUUUUGAAAUAAUGAACAACAAACAACCGGCCAGAGCUACGGUUGGCGACCUCGACGGACUCGAAUGGGCUUUGACGGAAUUCGAACUCGACCGAGACACGGCUACAGCUGUUCAUUUCCCGGUGAGCUGGGCAUUCUCUGGUGGAUUCGCGUUGGCUACUGGUUCAGUAAUUGUGGAGUGACGGCUGCUGGAUUUUUUUAG
rnacentral:lncRNA from 1 species